GACGAACGCUGGCGGCGUGCUUAACACAUGCAAGUCGAACGGAAAGGCCCUGCUUUUGUGGGGUGCUCGAGUGGCGAACGGGUGAGUAACACGUGAGUAACCUGCCCUUGACUUUGGGAUAACUUCAGGAAACUGGGGCUAAUACCGGAUAGGAUCUCCUGCUGCAUGGUGGGGGUUGGAAAGUUUCGGCGGUUGGGGAUGGACUCGCGGCUUAUCAGCUUGUUGGUGGGGUAGUGGCUUACCAAGGCUUUGACGGGUAGCCGGCCUGAGAGGGUGACCGGCCACAAUGUUACUGAGAUACGCAGCAGACUCCUACGGGAGGCAGCAGUGGGGAAUAUUGCACAGUGGGCGGAAGCCAGAUACGACGACGCCGCGUGCGGGAUGACGGCCUUCGGGGUGUGAACCGCUUUCGCCUGUGACGAUGCGUUAAUGACGGUAAUGGGUGAAGAAGCACCGGCUAACUACGUG
rnacentral:rRNA from 1 species